rnacentral:rRNA from 1 species
CCCUAUGGGGUGCAGCAGGUAUACCGGGAAAACAAGCCGGGCUUCAAGCUGAAUCAGGAUGAAUGGGGUACUUAUAUCACCGGGUACGCUCCUUUCUAUUCGGAGGAAGGGCGGUUUAUUGGUAUAAUCGGUGUUGAUCUGUUCCUGGACAACUUGAACAGUUCCCUGCAGGAAAGCUUUUUUAUUAUCCUGUGCUUCGUCAUGGUAUUGCUGGCUAUCGGAUUGAUCACCUACUCUUUCUAUUGCAAGUUCCUGAACGCGGUAGAACGUGCUGAUGCCGAAAGCAUCCUUUCAACAACCGACAGCCUGACCGGUCUCUUGAACCGGCGAGGCUUCAGCCAGAAAUAUCAGCCGUUAUGGAUACGAGGACAGAAAAACGGCAGUUCUUUGUCCCUGAUGCUUAUCGACGUAGAUUAUUUCAAGGAGUAUAACGAUAAUUACGGGCAAUUGGCGGGGGAGC